AGCAGCGGCUCCGCCCCCUGCUCGCCGCGCCGGAGGUGAGCAGGAAGGAGACGGCCGCCCAGCAGCCCGUGGGCCGGCGGCGGAGUGAGCGGACCCGGCGGCCGGUUCCGUGGGACGCCGAGGCCUCGGGCGGGGGCCGGCCUGGGGCUCCAGGGGGCUGCACACUAAGCACGAUGAGGCGGUUCCUGAGGUCAGGACAUGACCCUGCACGGGAGAGGCUCAAGCGGGACCUUUUCCAGUUUAACAAGACGGUGGAGCACGGCUUCCCACACCAGCCCAGCGCCCUCGGCUACAGCCUGUCUCUGCGCAUCCUGGCCAUCGGCACCCGCUCGGGAGCCGUCAAGCUCUAUGGUGCCCCUGGGGUGGAGUUCAUGGGGCUGCACCGGGAGAACAACGCUGUGGUACAGAUCCACUUCCUACCCGGCCAGUGCCAGCUAGUCACCCUGCUGGAUGACAACAGCCUGCACCUGUGGAGCCUGAAGGUCAAAGGCAGCGUGUCAGAGCUACAGGAAGAUGAGAGUUUCACACUGCGUGGUCCCCCCGGGGCUGCCCCCAGUGCCACACAGAUCACCGUGGUCCUGCCGCAUUCCUCCGGAGAGCUCCUCUACCUGGGCACCGAGAGUGGGAACGUGUUCGUGGUGCAGCUGCCGGCCUUCCGCACGCUGGAGGACCAGACCAUCAGCUCGGACGCCGUGCUCCAGCGGUUGCCCGAGGAGGCCCGCCACCGGCGGGUGUUUGAGAUGGUGGAAGCUCUGCAGGAACACCCCCGCGACCCCAACCAGGUCCUCAUCGGCUACAGCCGGGGCCUCGUCGUCGUCUGGGACCUGCGGGGCCGCCGGGUGCUCUGCCAUUUCCUCAGCAGCCAGCAACUGGAGAAUGUCUGCUGGCAGCGGGACGGCCACCUGAUUGUCAGCUGCCAUUCCGACGGCAGCUACGGCCAGUGGCCUGUGUCCAGCGACAGCCAGCGAGCGGAGCCGCUGCGCAACUGCGUGCCCUAUGGUCCUUUUCCUUGCAAAGCUAUUACCAAAAUCUUCUGGCUGACCACCAGGCAGGGGUUGCCCUUCACCAUCUUCCAGGGGGGCAUGCCGCGGGCCAGCUACGGGGACCGCCACUGCAUCUCAGUGGUCCACGAUGGCCAGCAGACAGCCUUCGACUUCACCUCCCGUGUCAUCGACUUCACUGUCCUCACUGAGGCGGACCCUGCGGCGGCCUUUGACGACCCCUACGCCCUGGUGGUGCUGGCCGAGGAGGAGCUGGUGGUGAUUGACCUGCGGGCGGCCGGCUGGCCGCCAGUGCAGCCCCCCUACCUGGCCUCCCUGCACUGCUCCGCCAUCACCUGCUCGCACCACGUCUCCAACAUCCCCCUGAAGCUGUGGGAGCGCCUCGUCACCGCGGGCAGCCAGCAGCACACACACUUCUCCACCAUGGAGUGGCCCAUUGACGGUGGCACCAGCCUGGCCCCAGCCCCUCCCCAGAGGGACCUGCUGCUCACGGGGCAUGAGGAUGGCACAGUGCGGUUCUGGGAUGCCUCCGGCGUCUGCUUACGACUGCUUUACAAACUGAGCACGGUCCGGGUGUUCGUCACCGACACAGACCCCAGCGACAACCUCAAUGCCCAGGGCGAGGACGAGUGGCCCCCACUCCGCAAGGUGGGCUCCUUCGACCCCUACAGUGAUGAUCCCAGGCUAGGCAUCCAGAAGAUUUUCCUCUGCAAGUACAGUGGCUACCUGGCUGUGGCGGGCACGGCAGGGCAGGUGCUGGUGCUGGAACUGAAUGACGAGGAGGCGGAGCAUGCCGUGGAGCAGGUGGAGGCCGACCUGCUGCAGGACCAAGAGGGCUACCGCUGGAAGGGCCACGAGCGCCUCUGUGCCCGCCCGGGGCCCGUGCAUUUCGAGCCCGGCUUCCAGCCCUUCGUGCUGGUGCAGUGCCAGCCCCCAGCUGUGGUCACCUCCUUGGCCUUGCACUCCGAGUGGCGGCUUGUGGCCUUCGGCACGAGCCACGGUUUUGGCCUUUUUGACCACCAGCAGCGGCAGCAGGUCUUUGUCAAAUGCACGCUGCACCCCAGUGACCAGCUAGCUUUGGAGGGCCCGCUGUCCCGUGUGAAGUCCCUGAAGAAGUCCCUGCGCCAGUCCUUCCGCCGGAUACGUCGGAGCCGGGUGUCCAGCCGGAAGCGGCGACCAGCUGGUCCCCCUGGAGAGGUGCAGGAGGGGGGCGCCAGGGCCGAGCGGACGGGGGUGCAGAACAUGGAGCUGGCACCUGUACAACGCAAGAUCGAGGCUCGCUCGGCGGAGGAUUCCUUCACGGGAUUCGUCCGGACCCUCUACUUUGCUGACACCUAUCUGAGGGACAGCUCCCGCCACUGCCCCUCGCUGUGGGCUGGCACCAAUGGGGGUACCGUCUACGCCUUCGCCCUGCGCGUGCCCCCCGCCGAGCGGAGAAUGGACGAGCCCGUGCGGGCAGAGCAGGCCAAGGAGAUCCAGCUGAUGCACCGAGCGCCCGUGCUGGGCAUCCUGGUGCUGGACGGACAUAGCGUGCCCCUUCCUGAGCCCUUGGAAGUGGCACAUGACCUGUCAAAGAGCCCGGACAUGCAGGGAAGCCACCAGCUGCUAGUGGUGUCAGAGGAGCAGUUCAAGGUGUUCACGCUGCCCAAGGUGAGUGCCAAGCUGAAGCUGAAGCUGACCGCUCUGGAGGGCUCGCGGGUGCGGCGGGUCAGCGUGGCCCACUUCAGCAGCUGUCGAGCCGAGGACUACGGGGAGCACCACCUGGCCGUCCUCACCAACCUGGGCGACGUGCAGGUGGUCUCGCUGCCCCUGCUCAAGCCCCAGGUGCGGUACAGCUGCAUUCGCCGGGAGGACGUCAGCGGCAUUGCCUCUUGCGUCUUCACCAAAUACGGCCAAGGUUUCUACCUGAUCUCACCCUCAGAGUUUGAGCGCUUCUCUCUCUCCACCAAGUGGCUGGUUGAGCCCCGGUGUCUGGUGGAUUCGACCAAGAGCCACAGCCGCCCCCCCAACGGAUCAGGCCCAGAGAAGGCCUUGGGCCAAGCCAGGAACUCAGGGAGCCAGAGUGAUGGAGAGGAGAGAAGUCCUGGCCCAGUGAUGGAGCACGCUCUGCUCAAUGACGAGAGGGUCCUGAAGGAGAUCCAGAGCACACUGGAGGGAGACCGAGGGAGCUACGGCAAUUGGCGUCCUCAGCAAAUGGCCGUGGGGUAUAGCCUCAGCAAUGGGGGAGUCAGCUAACAUAACUCACACAAAUGGACAAGUGACGUGAAGUUUCCUGCCAAGAAACCAAGAAUUGAAGACCAUGGUAAGAACGCAAGCACCAAGAAAUCAGAAGAAAACGGCACACCAAGCACCUCCAGGGCCCAGAGAGCCUCAUGGCCACAGCCAUGACCCAGCUAACCAGACUGAACAGAAGCCGACCACCACCAUACACACAUCUGAAAAUACCCAGACUCUGCAAACGGAUUUACAUCCACGCUCGCUGAGGACGAGCCUUGCCGCGAGCACAAGCGGAAGGGUUUGGCAUGGUCUAGAAAGUGGAUUAAUGGAAGUUGGGCUGGCAUGGAGAGAGGAGCUGGAGGUCCCUGCAGCUUCCGUCCAGGGAGGGGUGCUGGUAGCCACACGGUGGAGACACUGAGAGGCUGAGUUGACAGGACCUCUGCCAGAAGGUGAGAGAGUGGCAGAGGUCACCGCUGACUCCAAGGCCCUUGCCGACAUUCCACAGGCAGCUGGACACGUAAUCUGAAGACUCGGAUCUGAGGGUCUUCAGCAUUGACAGGGUUUGGGGAGAUUUGAAUGUAAGGCUGCUUGGGAAGAGACCUGAGGCCUGCCACACCCACACGGCUGAGUGAGCUACAAGACCUGGCCUGGAUCAACCCGGAGGCGAGGAGGGCACCAAGAAGGCAAGAGACUGGAGAGGAGCACCGAGCUCUGUCUGCCCAAGAGCUUGCAGGAUACAUUGUAAUGAGCCAGAGAAAGUCCAGCUUGCUGCUGGUGGCAGUCCCUCACACCUAUGCUCCAGAGGGCCUUGGGAGCCAGACUGCCUGGGUUGGCAUCUCAUUUCUCACACUCCCUGUGACACUCAGCUGUGUGCCUCAGUCAUAUCAGGCAUAAAAUGGGAAUUCUUAGGGUACUACCUCUUAGUGCGCUUUCAAGAAUUAAAUGACUCCAGGGCACCUGGGUGGCUCAGUUGUUAAGCAUCUGCCUUCAGCUCAGGUCAAGGUCCCAGGGUCCUGGGAUCAAGCCUCGUGUUGGGCUCCCUGCUCAGCGGGAAGCCUGCUUCUCUCCCUCUCCCACUCCCCCUGCUUGUGUUCC